CAUGACGCGGUACGUAAUCAGGAACUUGAGCCUGUAAACAGAAUGCGAUUCCAUCGCCGUGUUGCCCUCGACAGCAAGUAGGCCGGCAGCGGGAAGCGGACAAAAUUUGCCAGGAUUGCGUGGUCGAAGCGGAAAAGGACGCGGGAAGGGAUCCAUGUCAAAGUGCCUACGAAGAGUGCUGCAUAAUCUGUCGAUAGCUUGGCGUGCGAGUCAGUGACGCAACAGUCUUCUCUGACACCCUUUAACUGCAGUAUACUCUCAUAUGUAAACGGAUAUGUGGAGGAUUAAGUUGCGGAGCAAGUGUUGUGGUCGUUUGUGCUUCAUGUGACGUCGCGUGGCUCCAUGGGAGACGCGUUCAGUCCGAUGGCACUCGAAAGAGAAGCGUCUACGUUCCGGAAAUGGCGACGCCUUGCUGCAGAACAAUAAAGGACUGUCGCAUGUUUCAGGAGGGACUUCAUUUUUCCGUGAGUGAGCAUGUGAAAACCAGAUACGAUACGAGUGGGUGUGAGCUUGUUCCUGUCGCCUCCAUCCCACUGAGAUGGGGUGUCAAAUGUGAGUCCACUAGCAGAGGUCGCUACGUAAUUAAACACAAGCAAGCCAGGUGCUUGGGAUCAAGUUCUGCGAUAACUGUCCAUUGCUUUGCCCUGAAUGCCGCCCCGGUACUUUGCAGUUGGCUUCCCCGACACGGCUACACCUCUUUCACUUUGUUCACUCCGUGUGAUUUUUCCGUGACCAACCGGUUGCAGCUGGCACCUUCAUAGAAAGUGCGAAGCUAAUUUUUUGUAUGUCGGGAGGGCAGCAGGCGUGUUGGCAAUGACCACUAUAUACGCUUACCCUGCGGCGACCUCGUCACUGUUUGACGGUUCCGCUGCAUCACAUGGGCCGUGACUCCAGUGCGCCAUUUCAUGGUGGGCAUUCGAUGACAUGCGCUCCCCGUCGUCAGCAUCAUUGUGAAUUGCGGUCUUAUUUCACAGGUGCGGGACGUAGAUGGGUUCUAGACUGAAGCAUGCCAUAAGCCUUGUUUGUCCGUAGAGCACCAAGUAGUGUGCUCGCAAGACAGAUUCUCCCGUGUACUCAGGAUGGACUGGUAAAUAGCACGGGACGCAGCAUGGCUCUCGCGGUUUCCCAGAUUCGUGGGCGGGGCUUCCCAUUGGCUUCCACGUGUCCUUCCUGUUUGCCUACGGGCUGUCCAGCUGUGACGGCUGACUACCACUCAUUUCUUGUCACCGUCUGAGACACCUACGAGACCUAUUUUGUAUCAGCGAUGGCCUGAUGUGUGCAGGUAGCCCGUGUCAAUUCGAGUACACGUCCCUCUGCUUAUUCACUGCUCAUCGUGAUUAACAUUGGUGGACGGUGGUCCUGUGUUACCUCGUAAUGAUGGCAGCAUCUGUUCGUAUUCCCGGACAACGUGGAGGCUGUUAUCAGAGGCGCCGUUAGCCCUCUGCGUGCCAUGUGGAUAGCGUCAACUGGUAGUUGAGGCGAAGGGGUGUGUCAUUUGUCUCCAUUCUGUAUCAGUUUCGUUCAGAACCCGAAGGCAAGCCUUUCGCCACGUUUCGUUCACAGCCGGUCAAGCGGAUCAUCUCGCUGGCAGAAACUGGCCCUUAGUAUCCCGCUUUCCCUAUUCAUGGUGGGUUGUGGUGUCUCUGCACAGGCU
rnacentral:lncRNA from 1 species